UAUGAAUGGGUUUGGGUCCAUGCCUAAUACUUGAGGAUCUGUGGAGCAGGCGUAGGUGCAAAAACGCAAAGACCCGCUGGGUUAGAUUGUCUGGAAUGUCUUGGUCACACCAUAAACUGAAUUUAUGCAAUUGGAGGAUUUUUUUUUUUUUAAUCGCUCUUUUCUUUUUCUUGUCUCCUUUCCGCUCAUUUUGUAGUUUAUUUGCAAACUUGGCGGGGGGCGGGGGAGGGCGAGAGCGCAUAGAUUUACCUUGCAGACCCGCAACUAACAAGGCUACCCACAGAGUACAUUGUGAGAUCAGGCACUUCAACUACAGAAACGCACAGAUCCGCAGCGAGCCGCUUGGAAACGUCUUCGUCUUGUCCGAGAGUCGAGCGUGCGAACUUAGGUAGCCCGCGCGGUGGAAACGUACCAACCAGUGUAACAGCAAAAAGUUCGGUACUGCUGGAGCGUCCGCAAAGUCUGCUUUUCUUUCCUAAUCCACAUCCCUUCUCCGACUUUUUCAGAAGUGAGAGAUGCUGCCCAGAAAAACCACUGGCAAAACCCAGGAUUUCAUUUCACACUGUAAUAUACAGGGAACACACAAGCGCUCGCUCCGCGCCAUGGCGAAGAGGCUUCCUCCACGCCGAAUGAGAUCCGAAGCCAUUUGGGAAACUGUCCGGUUGGAAUGUAUUUUAGUUGCUUCUGCACUGGCCCGGUUGGUUGUUAGAUCGAGCAACCCGACUGCGGUCCUGAAAGAGAGAAAGCCGCUGGGAAGCGCCUCCUUCCUCACAAGCAAUCUUCGUUUUUACCGAGAGAGGCUAGUGAAACCUGGAGGGAAACUGUGCCGAGAACAAAGAGAACAGCUCGGAUCGGCUUCUCCGAGGAGCUCCGGCAGCGCUCGUCGCCCCCCAAGGACGCCCAUCGGCACAAUGCAGCAGCCUGACAAGGCAGAGCAGGCCAGGAAUCCGACCACUGCAGACAGAUCCGGAGAAGACAGAACAACCUCUUGGGAUUAAUCCUCGGCUUCAGGCUUUCAGGAUGAAGCCCAAGAGGUGCCAGUGUAGCCCAGCGGAUAGGAGGGGAGACUCGGGCGAGGGAAGACGGUCUCAAAGCCCCUUUCCCUCAUGUGUAUUUGUUUAAUAAUAGUAUUUUAUACGAAGGUUCCGGUUUUUAAAAUAUUAUAAGAAAGACAGAAAGAAAGACUGCUCAUCUAAGGUGACCCUUGCUUGCUUGCUUGCUUGCUUGCUUGCUUUCUCUCUCAAAAUAAUAGUAUUUUAUACGAAGGUUCUGGUUUCUAAAUUAUUUGAAAGAAAGCAAGCCAGCCACUCGUCUUAUAUUAAAGUCAGCAGGGCAGGGUGGGGAGUGAGAAUUACGCAAGCAACCAUGUGAACUGAUUCCAGCCAGUCAAGAUGAAGCAGCACUCCACCCCACUUUGCAAGCAAAACAACCAUUUCCAGGAAAGCAGAUGGGAGACUUGAAAUAGUGCCCUGGCUCUGAACUGUUCAGUGUUAGCAGAUUGUUCGCAAGGACGGAGUGGCAUAGUCUAACAAAGUCCUGUAGAAAGAAAACCAAGAAUCUGUGUGGGUUGCUGUCAGACCUACAAACGAAAAUAAAUUAAACAUCACAGAAGGCCAUUAAGUCACAAGAAUGGUUCAUAAUGGAGCAGCCCAACAGUUACAAAACAAACAGCAGCAUUUGUGAUUUAAUAAUGUAGACUUCUGGCUCUGCCCCACACCCAUGAAGCAUUUAAAUGUAGCCUCAUAGCAGUCGAAAGACAUUCCGUCAGCUCUGUAUUCUGCAAAAGGCACCCACAGCAUAUUGUCUCUUGACAUGCCUGGCUGGAGCUGAUCAGAAAAUGGCUCCUCCUCCUGUUAUAGCUGCUGUGUGACUGUGUAAUGGCGGGGCAGGAUAUGAAUAAGCUGUAUGACUACCACUUACCGGACAAGAUGCUAUUUACACACAUCCAAGCAGAGGUGCACCUAGGUAAUUUGGGAGCCUGGCCCUAAAGGAAAAGUCAGAAAUACUUCGCAACGUUUUGUAACUGCUCUCCUUCUCAUGCUAUGUUUUGAAUGACAGUACCCUCCCUGCCCUGGAUCUAAUAAGCAAUAUCAGCUUCACAACGUGCGCUGAAAAGUCUCUCUCAUCUCUUGGUUUACUAUAGAGAUUAUGAUUCAGAGUGCCCUGUUGAUGCCCCAAGUGAGAAGGGUUGCCACCAUAUUCAAGCUUCUCAAAUCCGGGUGGCCUAGUCUGCGCACAAUGCAAAUUAUGCUGUAACUCAUUUGCAUCAUUUGGUUCACGCAUGUGAGCCAGUGUGGUGUAGUGCUUAGAGUGCUGGACUAGGCCCGGGGAGACCCGAGUUCAAAUCCCCAUUCAGCCAUGAGACUUGCUGGGUGACUGGGCCAGUCACUUCUCUUUCAGCCUAACCUGACCACCCCGUCCCAGAACCAGCUUUCAGCUGCAGCAGAGCAGUUGAAAAGGCAAAGUCACAUGACAAGGGGGCGUGGCCUGGGCUGCCAAGAGCCCGAACGAGCUCUUGGCGCGUCAUUUCAGGCAGGGUCGGCUGCCUAAUAGGACGUCUUCCCCUUUGUCUCCCUCCAGAGAGGGAGAGGAAGGGAAAAACGUUCUAUUGGACAGUCGGAGCUGCCUGAAAUACUUGGCAGAGAGUUUGCCCGCUAGCUCUCAGCAGCCCGGGCAUGGGAGGAGGGAGUUCACUCUGGGCUCCUAUGGAGCCCAAGCCACACCCCGUGCACGCCACGGGCAUAUCGGAAGGGGCCGCCGCUCGGCUGGCUCCGCGCCUGCCCUCAAUGCCUUGUGCUUAUGUUAAAAAUAGUAACUUUGGCUAAUUUUCCUCAUCAUGCCAGCUAGUAAUAACCAUCAGACAAUCAGCUGUCCCUUUAGCUUGUGUGCCUGCUGAGCUGUUUCAUUACUCACUCUCCUAUAUGAACUAAUAUCUUUGUGAAACUAGGGAUGUGCACGAAUUGAUUGUUUUGUUUCAAUUUGUACCCAAAUCAAAUCACCCCCAAUUUGUUUUGGGUCUGAAUCUGCCCCCAUAAAAAUCACCCCAGAUUUGAUUUGUACCUGAAUUUUCCAAAUCUGAAUUGAUUCGAGGCAAGGGGUCCCGGGGGCAAAAGAGUGGGAUGGGUGGUUGGGCCCAAUGGACAUAUGGGAAGCUACCACGCAUAUUUCCAAGAAUUUGGGCAAAGGGGUGAUUUUUAAAGAUUUUUGAAGUUGGUGCAUCUUUAAGCUUUUCCCCAUAGAGAAUAAUGGGGAUUUCAGCUGCCUUAUAGCUUCAUGUGGAGGGCACCAGAGUGGGUUGUGGUGGGUGAAAGUGCCCAAUGGGCGCAAGGAAUCUACUACCUAGAUUUCAAAGAAAUUGGCCAAAGGGCUGAUUUUUAAAGCAUUUCUGAAGUGUACACGUCUUUAAGCUUUUCCCCACUGGGAAUAAUGGGGAUUUCAGCAGCCUUACUUAUAACUCCCCAGGGUGUGUGGCAGCAGGGUGGCCCAGAGAGGGUUGUCAUGGGUGGUAGCGCCCAGUGGGUGCAAGGAAGCUACCACCCAGAUUCCAAAGGAAUUGGGCAAAGGGAUGAUUUUUAAAUGAUUUUUGAAGUUGGCAUGUCUUUGGGGCAGAUUUGGGGCAGAAAGGGGGUUUCUGGAGGAGAAGAGUGGGUCAGGUGGUAGUGCCCCAAUGGGUGCCUGCUACCAUCCAGAUUUCAAAGAAAUCGGUGAAAGGGGUGAUUUUUAAAGAAUUUCUGAAGUUUGUGCGUCUUUAAGCUCUUUCCGAUAGGGAAUAAUGGGGAUUUCAGCAGCCCCAUAACUCCACUUGGGGGGCACAAGGGUGGCCCAGAGUGAGUGGUAGUGUAGUGCACAUAGAUUGCCAACCACCCCCAAACCUACAAGCCCAUGGGGCACUGGGGUUUGUUGUUUCUGAGGUCUUCUAUGAGUAGAUUCUCUGGUAGCAAAUGAUAGUGGGUUCAAUGACAAACAUAAAUAAUCAUAACUUAUUGGAUUUAUUAUUCGUUAGUUUUCUCCACCAUGGAUUCCCCUGACUGUAUUGUGUUGUCUGAGAUCCAGUUCGAUGCCAUGCCGACUGUCCUUUCCCAUUCUUGGGAUCUGUAUUUCUGAUGUGUAUGAUGGACAUGGUUUACCCCCCAAAAUGUCUUCAUGCUUAAUUCAGAGGCAAUGUGCCUUUGCAUGCAAGUUGCAGGGGAGCACGGCAGCAGAGCGGGUAUAACUUCAUCUCCUGCUUGUCGUCUUCCCAGAGGUAUCUGGUUAGCCACUGUGGGACACAAGUGGAUGCAGCAGGAGAUGGGCCAUGACCUGAUCCAGCAGAGCUAUUCUUGUCUGUUCAACUAGCUGUGUAUGUGUGUGAAAGAGAUCAACUAACUAACCAAUCACCAAGUCAGAAAGAGUGUCCAGCAGCAGUGAAGGCAUAAGAACUUAUGAACAUAAGAACAGCCCUGCUGGAUCAGGCCCAAAGCCCAUCUAGUCCUGCAUCCUGUUUCACACAGUGGCCCACCAGAAGAUGCUAGGAAGCCAAGAGGCAGGAGGGCCCUCUCUCCUGCUGCUACUCCCCUGCAACUCUUAUUCAGAGGCAUCCUUAUAGCCUCAGCUAUAAGUGGCUUAUAGCCCUCAGACUAGUAGCCAUUGAUAGACGUCUCCUCCAUGAAGUUAUCCAAAUCCCUCUUGUUGGCUAUCACCACAUCUUGUGGCGAUACAUCUUGUGUAAAAAAAGUACUUCCGUUUGUUGGUCCUCAAUUUCCUGGUAAUCAAUUUCAUGGGAUGAUCCCUGGUUCUAAUGUUAUGGGAGAGGGAGAAAAAAUUCUCUCUAUCCACUUUCUCCACACCAUGCAUGAUUUUAUAGACCUCUGUCAUGUAUCCCCACAGUUGUCUUGUUUCUAAACUAAAAAGCCAAGUUAGUAAGCUUUGUGGCUGCAAACCAUAAGAGAACUGUUAGACAUGGUGAGAAACAAAAUAUUCUUGGUAUGACCUUUCUCUCACUGCUGUGCAAAUAUCAGGAAACACAUAACUCCUUCCCCUGGCAAGUGUGCAUGGAACUAUGCAAAUAGAGGACAGCUGAUUUGUUACUUUUUGUUACUUUUUCCUCACAGUGAGAAGAAGGGGUGCAUAAGGUUUAGAAUUCACCCCACAAAUUUAAAAGGAAUAACCCAUCGUGAAACAACUGGACAUCAGUCCAAGAAAAUAAUGAAGAGUCUUUUGGCACCUGAAAGACUAAUAUAUUUAUUGUGGCAGAAGCUUUCAUGGACUCAAUCCCACUUCAUCAGAUGCAACAGGCUCCACACAAGUACCUCUGUGGAAGUUGCUAGGAAGAAUGGCUGUUGCUGGUGUCUAUCUUAUGUUUCUUUUUUAAGCUAGUGAGCCCUUUGGGGAACAGGGAGCCAUUUUAUUUAUUUAUAUCUAUGUAACCCACUUUGGGAACUUUGCUUGAAAAGCAGUAAUAAAUAUUCAUCAUCUUCUGAAGAACA